UUGCGGGAAAAGACCAUGCCCAAAACUUACUUUCUUGAUUGUUUGUAGAAUCUUCAUCCUAGGCCUCCUCAGUUGUACUUUGCAGAUUUUAAUUUAUAUUGGAAUAGGGUAUAGCUCUCCAACCAUGGCCUCAGCAAUGAAUAGCCUCAUCCCAGCCUUCACCUUCAUACUUGCACUUGUGACCAGGUACUGUUCCUAUUCCUGCUUUUUCUUUUUCCUUUUUUCAAUCUCACUCAUUUUCUCCAAUCAAUUACCAAACGCCAUGUGUCAAUUAUGGCUUGUCCUUUGUCUUUGUUUGAUAGUGCUUGUGCUUUUUUGUGAGGCCUGUUUUUCAUGUUCGUAUUUCAAUAAUUUAUUAUUAUUCUAAUAGUUUUCAACUAUGGUUCCCUUGUUUGAGAUGGUGGCAACAACCUGUUAGGCAUUAUCCAAUAUAGGUCUAUUUGUUUGGACGGGUUGGAUAAAAUGAAUUAUAAUCUAUUGGGCGGUUAGUCUUGAGAUAUAUUGAAUAAAAGGGGAUUAUAAUUUAUCGGAUUAUUAGUCA